CUUGAAAGAGGAAAGUUUCUUCCCAGGCUCUCAUCAGUUUCAUACGCCACUAGAAGACGACUUAAAUUCCUAGGCACAUGCAAGAGUCUGCUUUUUAGACUCGUAUUUUGGUCCUCUUUGCCCAUCAUUAUCGUCACGGAUUUUUUUUUUUUCUUUUUGAAAGGUGGAGAGGUCAAGGCCAGAGGUCAGGAUUCACUAGGAUUUAAAGCCGAGUUCAUUGUUGCUUUUGUUUUUGCUUUUCUGUGAUGCUGGAGAUGAAACCAGAGUGUCCUACAUGCUAGGCAAACACUGUGCCCUUGAGCCCCAACCCCAGCCCUCGAUUCGCUCUAAAUAGCACUUGGAAAGGAGAGCCGGAGUUUUCAGAGAAGACCAUCGUAAAGGAGUUAGGGAAGAAGGCUGAACCUGGCAAGCACAGAAUUUUUGGAUACCUGGGAACACUGAAAGUUUGGAGGUAAAAUGACGAUGGAAAAUGAUAAACGCAAUCCCUUGAGGGCCCCAUCUCACCUACUCUGACCUCAAACUGAAUAGCCUGGAGGGAGCAGGGAGUGA
rnacentral:lncRNA from 1 species